GUAUGAACAUGUGUCAGGACGGGUG
rnacentral:piRNA from 1 species